rnacentral:rRNA from 1 species
UACGGGGGGGGCAAGCGUUGUUCGGAAUUACUGGGCGUAAAGGGCUCGUAGGCGGCCAACUAAGUCCGACGUGAAAUCCCCAGGCUUAACCUGGGAACUGCGUCGGAUACUGGAUGGCUUGAGUCCGGGAGAGGGAUGCGGAAUUCCAGGUGUAGCGGUGAAAUGCGUAGAUAUCUGGAGGAACACCGGUGGCGAAGGCGGCAUCCUGGACCGGCAUUGACGGCUGAUGAGCGAAAGCCAGGGGAGCAAACGGG